rnacentral:rRNA from 1 species
AUUAGUGGCGAACGGGUGAGUAACACGUGGGCAAUCUGCCCUUCACUCUGGGACAAGCCCUGGAAACGGGGUCUAAUACCGGAUAACACUUUCUCCCUCCUGGGGGAAGGUUGAAAGCUCCGGCGGUGAAGGAUGAGCCCGCGGCCUAUCAGCUAGUUGGUGGGGUAAUGGCCUACCAAGGCGACGACGGGUAGCCGGCCUGAGAGGGCGACCGGCCACACUGGGACUGAGACACGGCCCAGACUCCUACGGGAGGCAGCAGUGGGGAAUAUUGCACAAUGGGCGAAAGCCUGAUGCAGCGACGCCGCGUGAGGGAUGACGGCCUUCGGGUUGUAAACCUCUUUCAGCAGGGAAGAAGCGAAAGUGACGGUACCUGCAGAAGAAGCGCCGGCUAACUACGUGCCAGCAGCCGCGGUAAUACGUAGGGCGCAAGCGUUGUCCGGAAUUAUUGGGCGUAAAGAGCUCGUAGGCGGCUUGUCACGUCGGUUGUGAAAGCCCGGAGCUUAACUCCGGGUCUGCAGUCGAUACGGGCAGGCUAGAGUGUGGUAGGGGAGAUCGGAAUUCCUGGUGUAGCGGUGAAAUGCGCAGAUAUCAGGAGGAACACCGGUGGCGAAGGCGGAUCUCUGGGCCAUUACUGACGCUGAGGAGCGAAAGCGUGGGGAGCGAACAGGAUUAGAUACCCUGGUAGUCCACGCCGUAAACGUUGGGAACUAGGUGU